CGCCGAGGAGCCCCGUGAUACAGUAUUUUAAAAUUCAGGCCCAGCUCCCGUGAACGCUGACAAACAGAGAGGACCAUAGGAGCAGGGUUCCAAGCCACGAGACAGUCCGCGCCACCAAGAACGCGCCGGAGAGAAAGCACACCGAUCCAGCGCCGUUAGACACCUCUGCACCCUGUUUUGUUACAAGAAGAAAUCCUCUGGCCAAAAAAGGCAUGAAAACUACAGACCCCAAGAUGAAAAAUGAGUUUUUCCCAAAUCAGUAAAUCCAAUCUUUCUGCGUGAACGUGUAAUGCUAAAGAAGCUUCUCGUGGGGGAUAGCGCGGAGACUAAGUGUGAGUAAGCAGAGCCCCCACUCUCUGUACACGCCCCUCACACACUCGGCGUCCGUGCGUCACGUUCUCACCAGUCAGGAGAACACCUUCCCGAGCACCCGCGUGUGGCUCUCUGCUCAGACUUCCUGCCCGGCCAGCUCCCGGCUCGAGAGCGGAUUCUCCACCCAGUGGACCAGAAACGCACAGGUUCGACGUGCCCCCACAUGGAGAACUGCACGCCCUGGACCGGCAGUCUCCCUGCCCCCCGCCCCACCAAGUCUACGGCUUUGGGAGACACAGAGCUUUCUGGCGGCAGCGGGAGAGACCUCGCCAAAGACACGCGUGUGUUAGAUCGGGACGUGCCGGGAGGUCCCGGGGACUCCUAGCAGAGGACGCAGGAGG